UGCUGUUAGCUGGAGCCAGCCACCAGGAUUGGUCCAAACCCAACAUCAUUACCAGAUAUCCUACCACUGUUCAGGGACAGAACCACACAUCACUACCACAUCUUCAGACAGCAUCACUCUCUCUGACCUGCAAGGUGGUACUCAGUACUCUGUCACUGUCUGCACUGUGCUGGAAAAUGGAAAGCAAAGUCAGCUGGUGUCAACAACCCUCACCACAGUACUUCCUGCUCCAGACCUGCUGAAUGUUGACUCAGUGAACACCACAUCAGCUGCUGUUAGAUGGAGCAAGCCACCAGGAUUGGACCAAACACAACAUCGUUACCAGAUCUCCUACCACUGUCCAGGGAUAAAACCACACAUCGCUACCACGUCCUCACACAGCAUCACUCUCUCUGACCUGCAAGGUGGUACUCAGUACACUGUCUCUGUCUGCUCUGUGCUGAAAAAUGGAAAGCAAAGUAAACUGGUAUCAACAACCCUCACCACAGUACUGCCUGCUCCAGACCAGAUUAAUGUUGACUCAGUGAAGACCACAUCAGCUGCUGUUAGCUGGAGCCAGCCACGAGGAUUGGACCAAACCCAAC